UACGUAGGUGGCGAGCGUUGUCCGGAUUUAUUGGGCGUAAAGCGUGCGCAGGCGGUUUCUUAAGUCAGAUGUGAAAGCCCCGGGCUUAACCUGGGAACUGCGUUUGAAACUGGGAGACUUGAGUGUGGCAGAGGGGGGGUGGAAUUCCACGGUGUAGCAGUGAAAUGCGUAGAUAUGUGGAGGAACACCAAUGGCGAAGGCAGCCCCCUGGGUCAACACUGACGCCUCAUGCACGAAAGCGUGGGGAGCAAACAGG
rnacentral:rRNA from 1 species